GCAAAAUGCAAAUUUGAAGAAGCACCUAAAGGUGCCGGGGCUUCUCCCGGU
rnacentral:tRNA from 1 species